rnacentral:lncRNA from 1 species
AAGAAACAUUAAAUAUAAUUCAUCAGAGCACAUGGAAAUACUAAAAGUCACUGCUUUCUUCCACCUUAAACAAGUAAAAUAUAUAAUUACCUUAAUUUUAUCUCAUCACAUCUCAUCAUUAUUCAUUUAUAUAUUCAGAUCAGUUCUUGACAGCAAGAAAAUCCUAUGCUGCCAAUAGAUAUUUUAAUCAAGCAAACUUUUUAACAUUUAGGAUAUGCAACUCCACAAGUGCUAGCAACCCUUUUGGAGUUGGGAUUGUCGACAAACUGUUUAAGAGUUGGGUUCUUAAGGUACCCACAAAAGCAUGGCUGCUGCUCCUUCAGCUUGCUGCAACAAGUGGCUGAUGGAGGCUUUGAAGACGUGAUCGCUGCCAAGCAGGGGCUGAGCUGCGAGGCCUCACAUGUCACUGCUUCCGCCGUGCGAGUUUCACCUGAAAAUAGGAGCACUACCAGCGCCACUGCACAGAAGGAAACAAAGGAAAACCUAUUCAUAUUUUUCACACACAAAAUGCUAACACUUGUGACAAAAAAUAAUAAAGUUGAUUUGUAUUUGGUGCAUUUUUGGGUAUGAGCUGCGACACAUUUUAUAGGACUUGGGAUUGUUAUUAUUGUUGUUUCUUUAGCCCAUGAUUGACGGUGUCAAUAAGUCAAGUCUUUUGCUGGCCUAAACUUGAAAAAUGCGGGUCCUUGGGGGAAUUGAAGAAGGUAGAUUUGCACAUCCCACCAUUGCACGACGGGAUUUUAUGCUUACAUUUAAUGUAGAAAAAUUUUGUUAUAGCCCCGCUGUACUUCCAAUUGAAGCAUACCAUUUAUGAUUUUUGUAAUAUAAUAUAAUAUAAUUAAUUAAUUUUUAAAAUUAAGUGAUUUUCAUCAAAAUUUUAUAUCAAACUUACAUGUAUGAAUGGUGAAUUCUUAUACAAUUUUGUAUUUAUUAUAAUUACAUAAUUGUAAAAUUAAUAAAAUAAUUAUAAAAAAAAAACUAAGCUAAGGAACCUGUAAAAUUAUCACAAUCUGCUUAGAGAAUAUCUAACAAGAUAAACAAAAAAAUAGUUAUAAUAAAUACAGAUAUUGUGAUGUCCAAAUUGUGGUAUAACCUCAUCCUUUUUUGGUGUGGCCAUGAUUUUAUUUAUAAUAAAAUAAUAAUAAUAAUAAUAAUAAAAUAAUAAUAUAUACAUUAAUCGAUAAAUAUAAAAAAAUAUUGAUAGAUAAAUAAAAAUAAUAAUAAUAGAUAAGUAUAAAAAAUAUGCAUUAAUAAAUAAAUAAUAAAAAUAAUAUUAAUGGAUAACUAAUAAAAAUAUAUAUAUUAUUAGACAUAAAAUAUAUAUAUAAAUAAUAAAAAAUAAAGAUAAUAAAACUAAAAAUAAAAUGAGUCAUUUUGUCUUAUUUGGACCAAGCCCAAUUAAUCUGGACCUGAAUCAAAUUAAGUGUCUACAAUAUUAAUUUAAUAAAAAUAUUAUACUUAUAUAUAAUUAAUAUAUAAUUUAUUUUAAAAUAAAUUUUUAUGUAUAUAAUAAAUUAAAAUCAUUAAUUAAGUUCAAAUUGAAUGCAAGUUUGAAGUUGGAUUAUACAAUAUAUAUCGGGUCAAAUCACGUAGAAUUCUUUAAGAGUCGAGUUGGCGUUGAAGCAAGCAAAAAUCUUCUUGAUUCGAUCCAUUACUAUAUUUAUUACAAAAUUUUUUUUUUGUCAUUCAAGUAAUAUGUAAUUAAUUUAUUAAAAAUUUCAAACAAAUUUUUUAUCAAAUCUUUUUAGUUUUGAGUAAAUAUCGCCAACAAUAUACUUACAAUUCUCAAAUCACUUAUUAUUUAACAAACAAGUAUUCUGUUGUCACCAGGUCUUUGAGUAUAACAACACAAGUGCCCAGAAUUCUUGUUCAAGGCAGGAAACUUGGUCUCUACUUUUGCAAAAGAUGAAAGAAAAUAUCAUGUGAAACAUAAGUAUUUAAUUCCCUAGGUCAAAUAACUUUAUCUCAGUUUCAGAUUAUGCUAAGUUUCCUAAUAAUGGAAGAGUGGACUAUUAUUCAAUGAAUUGGACCUUUAUGAACCUGAUAAUAUUGAUUCUAAUGUUAUAGUUGCCGAUCAGGAAAUGAAAAUUAAUGCACGUGUAAAUGUCCUAAAAUUGCUCAUUCGUCCUUGACUUUGCCUCUAGACGAAACCCUACUGUUUAAAAGCUAACUUUCUGAAAUGAUAUAUUGCAAAGAGAAAAGAAAGAAUGGCAGAAAAUUUCACUAAUUGAUUGUUUUGUCAUUUUAACCUUCAGAGUUUACCACAAGACAAAAUGAAUCAAUUUUGACCUUCAGCGGUAAAAAUGUCGAUGUGAUCUUAAUUUGAAAUGAGGAUCGAUACCGUUAAUUUUUUUUAUAUUACUACGUAGUAAAAACUAUGGUUACCUAAUGGCUAAAAAAUUUGAUUGAUGUUUAGUUAAAAAAUUGGUUUUGGUCUUUUUCUUGUUUUAGUUUCUAUGUUAAAAGUGUUAGAAAUAGUCUUUUCUUUAUAGUCUGAUGUGGAAGAACAAAUGUUGACAUGGAGUAAUAUUAUUGGAUAAGCAUACAGCUGAGUUUGUAGGAAGGAUUUAUAUAAUAAUUUAUUUUAUUUAAUUUUGAUUCAAUUUUAAAAUAAUCAAAGGAUGAAAUUUUUUGUGAAAUAUCUUUAGAAUCUUUCUUUGCUUCCUUACUAAAUACUGUUUGUGGUAUCAGUGCAGGUUAAUUAUUGCAUAUUUUGAAGUAAUAAUUUUGUUCCAUCAUCCUAACUUUUGCAUAAAAAUAUUGGGAUAAAUUUGGAAUAUAGCGCAAAAACUUUUUUUUUUUUUUUACUUUUUAUAAUUGACCUGCUUUCUUUCUUAUCAUUGAACUACUUUUUUUUUUUUUUCCUUCUUAAAUUAGUAUUAUCUUUAAUCAGUAUUAGAUCACCCUUUGCUUUUUCCUUAAAGUUUCCUUCUUUAUUAUUGAAAAUUAGGUUAAGAAUGUAAAUACAUCAAGGCCAGAUAAAAAAUGAAAACAUAAAAAUUGGGAGAGAGGAAAAGUAGAAAAGUGAAAAACAUUUUUUUUUUCCCAUUGGUGUGUAUUGUGCUUGAUUGGAAAAAUAAAAAAUAAAAAAAUGUAUUUUCUUUCUAUCCAUUGCUUGGUAGAAUUAAUGAAAAAUGAAAAGUAAAAAUAUAAAAACUAUAUUAUUUUACUAUUAUAACCUUUUAUAAAUUAAGAUAAAAAAUAAAAAAUCUAAAUAUUAUAGACAAUCUUUUAAAUAUACAACACAUUCUCACAUUUUUCUCAUUUUCUCUCUUUUUUUUUUUUUUUUGAUUUACAAUGAUUUGUAUUUGUGAAUAUGUGAAAAAUUGACAUCUUUCCUGUUAUUUUUUCUCACUUUUCUUUCACACAAACCACAUUCAAAUUCAUUUUCUUUCUACAUUUCCAGUCCCUCUAUUCAUCCUUUUACUCUUCAUUAUACCAAGUACACCCUAAAAGAAAUUAAUAAUGAUUUCCCUUUGUUUCCUUUGUAAACUAAAUUUAAUGGAGAAAUUUCGUAAGAUACAAUGAAAUUAUUGAAAAGUAUGGAGAUUUUGAACUGUCGUAUGCAACACUUUCAACAUAUCUAAAUAUAAAGUUAAAUAAUUAAAAAAAAAAGAACAUUUUCCAAUAUAUAUAUACAAUAGGAAUCAUCAAUUAUAUAUUUUAAUGCAAAGCUUACGUAAUGUAUACCGUAAAUUGGAAUGUUAAAUAAUGCAAAGUAGUCCUUAAAUUGGACUGUAGCAAUUGGCCUUAGUUUUAGUUUUUAGUUUAUUAGAUUUUUGUUUCUAGCCUUUGACUAGAUGAUGGUUGAUCCAACCUACUGUUUUAGUCAAGUUGCUCACUUCCGUCUUAAAUCUUUUUUUAUUUUUAAAUUAUGAUUUUUGUUGUAUGUAUGAAAAUGUAUAUAAGUAUGAUUAACGAAUUAUCGAACCUUAAAUUACCUUAAUCUUCCCCUUAACCUUAACUAAAACGUUGUUUAAUUUUUAUCCUUCUAUCAUUUGUACUAAAAAAAAUCCUUAAAUCAUGAGAAAUUGUUGUUGUUUGAGAUUUCAUCUCAAAUCAAAGAUGAAAAAAAAAAUAAGAAAAGAUGAGCCAUUUUUCCACAAGAAACAUCAAUCAUAAUUCAUCACAGCACAUGUACCACUUUCUUCAUCCUUAAACAAGUAGAAUAUAUAUAUAUAUAUAUAUAUAUAUAUAUAUAAUUAUCUUAAUUUUAUUUCAUCCCAUCACAUCAGUAUUCAUUUAUUCAGAUCAGUACUUGACAGCAAGAAAAUCCUAUGCUGCCAAUAGAUACUUAAUCAACCAAACUUUUAACAUUUAGGAUACGCAACUCCACAAGUGCUAGCAACCCUUUUGGAGUCGGGAUUGUCGACAAACUGUUUAAUAGUUGGGUUCUUAAGGUACCCACAAAAGCAUGGCUGCUGCUCCUUCAGCUUGCUGCAACAAGUGGCUGAUGGAGGCUUUGAAGACGUGAUCGCCGCCAAGCAGGGGCUGAGCUGC